AGCAGCUAAUUAGGAACAGGCAGGACCUGUAUAAAGCCAGGUAGCUGGCCGCAGUGCAGACAGAGUACUGCUGCUGGGGAAGACGGCAGGGAAAUAGACUGCAGGGACUCCCUAGGUGCAGUGAGUUGAGAGGCUGCAAAACCCAGAGAGGGUAGGGGCCUGUGAUGUAGGAAGAAGCACAGGGAAAUAGCAGCAAGCGGUAGGACUGUGCAGAGAAUUUGGUUGCUUGUUAUAGGGUCCCUGGGCUGUAACCCAGUGUAGAAGAUGGGCCUGGGUUCCCCUAUCUGCCACUGGAAAGUGUCAGGGGUGCUGGAGCUGCCAGGUCUGGGAAGAGAGCAGGUCUGGGAAGACUUUGAAUUCCCCAGAAGGGGAGGACUGUAGUGACCUGGCUGGAGGGCCAAGCCCUGAAGAGGAGACUGCAGUGCCUGGAGUGAGAGCAAGACAGCACGGGGGAAGACGCUGCUGGAGCAUGAGUGCCAUGCAGGAGUUGCGGCUAAUGGGCCUGUUCCAAAGCUUGCUGAGAUCUAUGGCGAGGCUCCUAUUCACUUCAAUGGAUGUUGGACCAGGAACUCCGUUGUUAGUGUCUCGGAGUGUGGUGUUGGUUCUGAAACGUAUGCAAGCAGUCGAGCUUCACCUCGUGGUAGCAUGAAGGUUGCUAUCCAGGCAGAUCUUGUCCCCUCUCUAUUAUUAUUUCAGAAGCUACGUCAUGUCACAGUGGAAUCCUAAUGCGUUUGGACACAUGCUGCAUAGCUGCUUCUCAACUGCGACCUCAUGGUGCUAUGCAGAUAUGAAUUGGUGAGUCUUACAACACCUGCAGUUGCAUGAGUUACUCUAAGUUGCCUAGUGUAUCCAAGGUGCAACCAGAGGAGAACCCAAGAGUCUUAACCAUCAACCCCCUCAUCUAACUGUUGAGA